rnacentral:lncRNA from 1 species
CUUAGGUAAAUCCUACUUUUUUUUUUUUCUGGUCAAAAAAUAAGCUUCAAGAUCAGAACUGAACACAUCAGACUGACUGGAGCAAAACAAUCUCCCAACCCCCACUCAGUUUGAGGGGCUGUGGAUGUCAAGUACCCCUGAAAUCUGCUUACCUCAGUAGGGAUCUGGAGGUAAGCCAGAGGCCUAUUUUUUGCCUUUCCUAUUAUUUUGCUGGAGAUCCUUUCCUUUAAGGUUGUUAAUUUGUUUUGUGACAACCC